rnacentral:rRNA from 1 species
UUGCACGCUGGCGGCAUGCUUUACCCCUGCCAGUCGCACGGCAGCGCGGGCUUCGGCCUGGCGGCGAGUGGCGAACGGGUGAGUAAUACAUCGGAACGUGCCCAGUAGUGGGGGAUAGCUCGGCGAAAGCCGGAUUAAUACCGCAUACGACCUGAGGGUGAAAGCGGGGGAUCUUCGGACCUCGCGCUAUUGGAGCGGCCGAUGGCAGAUUAGCUAGUUGGUGGGGUAAAGGCCUACCAAGGCGACGAUCUGUAGCUGGUCUGAGAGGACGACCAGCCACACUGGGACUGAGACACGGCCCAGACUCCUACGGGAGGCAGCAGUGGGGAAUUUUGGACAAUGGGCGAAAGCCUGAUCCAGCAAUGCCGCGUGUGUGAUGAAGGCCUUCGGGUUGUAAAGCACUUUUGGCGGGAACGAAAAGGACUGUGCCAAUACCACGGUUCGAUGACGGUACCCGCAGAAUAAGCACCGGCUAACUACGUG